GGGCGGGGAGGGACUGCCGGGGCCGGGGCGCGGGCGCCCCCGCCAAGAGCGGGCCGGGUCACUCAAGCCACUGCCGCGCCAGGGCGGCAGGCCUCGGAGGGUCGGACUCCGUUGCCAUGGCGACCACCAGCCCGGGUUUCUCUGGGACUGGCCGGAGCUCAAGUUUCCCGACCCUUUGUCCCUGCGGAGCACGCGCGUCCCCGGGCGACCGCGUGGCUGGCCUAUGGUCACCGGGGUGUUCGGCCUUAGCUGCCUUAUGAGAGGCUGGGAGCCCGUCGGGAGACUUCAAAGAGGGCUCCGGCAAGCCCCCGGAGCGUCGUUGCCCGGGCCUUUCUCAGGCCGCGCACCCCGGCCGCAGUGCGGACGCUUGCGGCCGCGGCGGUCCCGGGACGGCGGUGGCGCACCUGGAAGGCCCUAGCUUCCGAUUUGUUCCAAAGUGGAGCACAAAAAGGCCCGAUCCUGCGAACUUUGAAAAGGCCUCUCUUCACUCUUUUCUAGAAAUUAAGAAAGAGCAGAAGUUGCUGGGCUUCCUCUGGCUGCGGGCCAAGCGUGGGGCGACGGCCGAGGUGGCCGUUGGCGCACGUGGGGCAUUUCGCUUGGAAAGGCUCAGCAGCCUGUGUGGCGUCUGCGGUGGCAGAGAUGGGGUCUCACUGUGUUGCCCAGGCUGGUCUCAAACGAUCCUCCCGCCCCAGCCUCCCAAAGUGUUGGGAUUACAGAUGUGAACCACUGCAUCCGGCCUACCUUUUCAGUUGUUGAUGCCUGCAGGAAGUGGGGAGGGGGCAAGCAUGGAAAUAAAGGAAAAUCUUGAAUUCCUUCAAGGGAAAUUCCAGGCACCCAGCUAGCAACCUAAUAAACAAGAAGCCUCCAUUAGAGGAAAUGUCUCUUCUCCCAGUCAGGAGUUAACCACCUGCUGUAACUUCCUCUUUAGCAUCGCCAGAGGAAACUAAGUAUGACUGUGCCUUCACUCUGCAGAAAGAAAAUGAGUGGCAAAGGAGUUGCGAAGGGAUUCCUGAGCCUUUAUGCCAGCUGGAAGCUUAAGGCCUUGGUAUUUGAGACUUCACCCUUCAAAAUGUCUUGGAGGAUGGCCCAGCAACCAGCCAAAUGGCCCAAUGGCCUAGCCCAGUGGAGACGGUCUCAGCUUUUGACAAGCUAGCCGGAGAAAGGGCUGGACAGGAAGGGGCCCACUGGACAGCGAAUAUUGAUAGGGCCCCUGGGAGGAUCAAUUUUCCCCUCCAACAGUGCCUGGCUCCCAUUAUCAGAUUAGAUGCAAAGUGGGCUGGCAUGCCAGGGGGUGACAGGAACAGUGUCUCCAGAAAUCCUCUGUGAAGACACCCAAGUAUUGUUCAGAAGUGGCCCUGUAUCUGGAAGAGGGAAAACUGCACCCACUUCUUGCAGACAUACAGUUCCAGCUCCCCCCACAGGACUUGCUCAUACAUCCAACAAAUAUUUAAUCAGUGCCCACCAUCUGCCACUGUGCCAGGUGCCCGGCCUCAUCAUGAGUCAGGCAGAGGUGGUCUGUGCAGUUUUCCCACAAUGUGAGAGGGUGCUGAGAAGACUUUUAACGCUUAUUUAACUACGGAAAUAACUCUUGGUUUGGUACCUACUACAAAAUAAAAACAAGCGCUUGUUGAUAAUUUCUGGAUGGAUGACUGUGGAAAGCUGGAGGAGACUGAGGAUCAAUUUGCUCUAAUGAACCUUCCCUUGACUAUCAUCUCCGUUACCUCCUGCCGCAUCCCUACGGCAAAUAUGCAAGACUCUCACGCAGCUAAUUUCCAGGGGUUUGCAGUCUGGGGAGGAAGCAGAAAGCACAUCCCUCACUGACCCUGAGGAGGGGCAAAUCUCUGGUAGCAGUCACAGGUACGUGCUGUACACACUUCCCAUCCUUUGAGCCUUCCCAGCUGGAGAGCACCAAGAGAACGCAGUUGGGGAGGCCCCGAAAGAUGAAGGGUUGUUGAGCUUGAAGGCAGUGAAAAAGUAAAUGGAAGAAAGCUCUCUGCCCUCCACUGCCUAAAUGCAGGAUAUAGAUUUAGAAGGAUAAAAGGGGUCUGCUCCCUCUCUCGACCAGGGAAAAGUUAACCACUGAAGACAACUUUAGACUCUUAUGGGCCUGGAGCUGGAACCAGAGGAAUGGACAUGAAGGCGCUUUACUAACUCUAUUUAUCUGCCAGUUACUUACCUUUCUACAAGUUCUCCCCUUAGACACUCAAAGUUCUUUUCCUUUGUCCUGUCGCUUCCCUAAAACUUGGCUUUUCUUUGUUGAAGAUGCUAUACAAGCUGGAAUUCAAAGCUACCACUUUGAGAACUACUCAAUUCCUGCGUGUCUCCCAGGCAGAUGUGAAAUACACAUGUUAAUAAACUUCCACUGGUUUUUCUCUUGUUAA